AUGGAGACACCUGGAAAACAACUUGACAGUGAAGAGCUAUCACUGUGGUGGACGUUCGGCGCUGGGACCAAGCUGGAAAUCAAACGGAGUAAUCAAAAGCCAACUGUCUCCCUCUUCCCACCAUCAAAAGAGGAGUUGGCAUCCGGAAGUGCCUCACUUGUGUGCUACGCUAACAACUUCUAUCCAAGAGAUAUCAGCGUCAAGUGGAAGGGGGAUGGCACUGAAAUCUCAGACAACAUCCUGAACAGUUACACGAAGCAGGACAGCGUGGACUUCACCUACAGCUUCAGCAGCACCCUAGUGCUGUCCAGAACAGAGUAUGAAAGUCAUGAAGUCUACACCUGCGAGAUCUCCCAUGUUACCCUGUCUUCACCUGAAGUCAAGAAGUUCAGAAGGAAGGAAUGUUAGAGCCAGAGCCCAACAGGCACCACUGCCUGCCCCUCGGGCCCACCCAGCCUUGAUCUCCCUCCUCCCAUCCCCAGCCCUUUCCCAGAGAGACCUACCCGGGCACAGUCCUCCAGCCCCUCUCCACCUCCCUUCCUCCCCCUCCUUGGCUUUAAUCAAGCUGAUACUUGGGGGACACCAUGAAUAAAGUAAUCUUUGCACCUGA